UAUUGCACAAUGGGCGCAAGCCUGAUGCAGCAACGCCGCGUGCCCGAGGACGGCCUUCGGGUUGUAAAGGGCUUUUCUGGCUGACGAGGAAGGACGGUAGGCCAGGAAUAAGCGUCGGCUAACUACGUGCCAGCAGCCGCGGUAAAACGUAGGACGCGAGCGUUGUCCGGAAUCACUGGGCGUAAAGGGCGCGUAGGCGGUCCGGUAAGCGUGUGGUGAAAGCCCGGGGCUCAACCCCGGGUCUGCCGUGCGAACUGCCGGACUCGAGCACUGUAGAGGCAGGUGGAAUUCCGAGUGUAGCGGUGGAAUGCGUAGAGAUUCGGAGGAACACCGGUGGCGAAGGCGGCCUGCUGGGCAGUGUCUGACGCUGAGGCGCGACAGCGGGGGGAGCAAACAGG
rnacentral:rRNA from 1 species